rnacentral:rRNA from 1 species
UGGGGAAUAUUGGACAAUGGGCGAAAGCCUGAUCCAGCCAUGCCGCGUGAGUGACGAAGGCCUUAGGGUUGUAAAACUCUUUCGUCGGGGACGAUAAUGACGGUACCCGAAGAAGAAGCUCCGGCUAACUUCGUGCCAGCAGCCGCGGUAAUACGAAGGGAGCUAGCGUUGUUCGGAAUCACUGGGCGUAAAGCGCGUGUAGGCGGGUCGUUAAGUUGGGGGUGAAAUCCCGAGGCUCAACCUCGGAACUGCCUUCAAAACUGGCGACCUGGACUCAAGCAGAGGCAAGUGGAAUUGCGAGUGUAGAGGUGAAAUUCGUAGAUAUUCGGAGGAACACCAGUGGCGAAGGCGGCUCACUGGUCCAUUACUGACGCUGAGGUGCGAAAGCGUGGGGAGCAAGCAGGAUUAGAUACCCACGUAGUCCCUGAGCGGGCUGGCAAGGCGCAU